UUUGACGCUUUCAUUGGCAAAUGGCAAUGCUUGCUAGUCCCUCCUCAACCCACCCACUGCAGUGACUCCUACAGCCACCAAGCCUUCUCAGAGAGGAACCCCCAGCCUCAGCAGCAGAGGAAGCACAUUCAGACGCAGCCUUCCUGUUUGAGAUCCUUCCUCCCAGAGCCUUGUUAGGGGAGCUGGAGAAGCACAAAUCUCUGUGUCUAGAACUUCUGGACGUGUCACAGGGACCUUCCACUCGCCCAGGCAAACAGAGAGGGAAAGGGAAGAAGAGACUCGAGUCCCUGCUGACUGCUUUUAUAGCAAACCACAGACUGGAUGGCGGAGCAAACUCACUUCCCGCUGCUCUGGAAGGAAGCUUGCAGGUCUAAGGUGCCAGCAGACCGUGGUGGAGCUGCUUCCUGGUUCACAGACCGGUGUGUUAGCCGUCCUCCUUUGGUGAAAAGGGCAAGGGAAUCCUUUGGGGGGCCCUUUUCUCUGCAUGUGGCUCUACUUUUACGUCCUAAUUACCUCUCCAAAGUUCAGACACCAUCCCACGGUAGCUAGGGCUCAACAUAUGGAUUUGGGGGACACAGCAUUCAGUAAACUGCAGGUCUCAACACUCUCUUUAGCUCCUUUCCCCUCUGAGCUCCAGGUCAGCGCUCCCAACAACCCCAAAACCCCCCACCCCCUGAGAUAAUUAUUGGUUAAGGGGGCAGGGAGUGGCAGAUGCUGGUAGUUGCUCUUGGCUCUGUGUGUGUGUGUGUGUGUGUGUGUGUGUGUGUGUGUGUGUGUGUGUGUGUGUGUCUGUGUGUCUCUGUGUGUCUGUGUGUUAUACACAUGUGUGUUUACUUCCAGGUACAUGCAUGAAGAGGCCAGAAGAGAACAUCGGAUGUCUUCCUGUAUUUUACUCCACCUCCUUCCCUUUCGUUAGUGUCUCUCACUGAAAGCUCACUCUUUCAGCUGGGCUGGCUGGACACAAGCUCCUGGGAUCUGUCUGCCUCUAACUCCAGUGCUGGGUUACAGGCACAUGUAGCCAUACCCAGGUUUUUAUACCUGGGUCUUUAUACUUGCAUAGCAAACACUCUUACCCACUGAGCCAUUCCCGGAGCUAGUAGUUACCCAUUUCCAUCACAUGGGUGCAGCUUCCAUCCAGGCUUAGUCCGCCCAGCAGCAACCUCGGCUUCUUCGGUGGCCUGACAGCAGUGACAGCCUCUACUUCUAAGUGUUCUUGUGACAGCACGGUGAGGUGACAUGGGUGAAGAUGUUUCCCAAAAGUGCCUAAUUUAUGUUAGACUAUGAACAGACUACUAGUUACUGCUAGUAGCAUUCUCAAUAUUGUAAAUUUAGUGACCUACUGGGAUUCACAGUCAUAACCAUCAUUUAGCACUGCUCGUCAUUCUUCAUAUUAUUAUACAAAUAACGUGGUGGCUAGUUUUAGUUGUAAACUUGACAGACUCUGGAAUUGUUUGGAAGAUGGGCAUGCCUGUUGGGCUAUCUUGACUACACCAAUUGAUUGGCAGGCCCACCCCCUGCAGGUGGCACACUGCCUGUCUGCAGUCCUGGAGAGAGAGGUGGAGAAAGAUGGUUGAGCAGCAGCAUGAAUUCACCACUCUCUGCUUCCUGAUUGGGAACACAAUGUGGCCAGCCACUUCAAGAUCCUGCCUUGGCUUUCUUGCAGUGAUGGACUGUACUAAUGAAUAAUGAGUCCAAAUAAAACCUUUCUCUCUUAA